rnacentral:tRNA from 1 species
GCGCAGGUGGUGGAAUUGGUAGACACGUACGUUUGAGGGGCGUAUGCCGAGAGGCGUAAGAGUUCAAGUCUCUUCCCGCGCACCA